UGGUGACUUCCGGAAAGCCUUGG
rnacentral:piRNA from 1 species